UGCCAGCAGCCGCGGUAAUACAGAGGGGGCUAGCGUUGUUCGGAAUUACUGGGCGUAAAGAGCAUGUAGGUGGUUUUCUAAGUCAGAUGUGAAAUCCCAAAGCUUAACUUUGGAACUGCAUUUGAAACUGGAAAACUUGAGAUUGGUAGAGGAUAGUGGAAUUCCGAGUGUAGAGGUGAAAUUCGUAGAUAUUCGGAGGAACACCAGUGGCGAAGGCGGCUAUCUGGGCCAAUACUGACACUAAGAUGCGAAAGCGUGGGGAGCAAACAGGAUUAGAUA
rnacentral:rRNA from 1 species